AGAGUUUGAUCUGGCUCAGAACGAACGCUGGCGGCAGGCCUAACACAUGCAAGUCGAACGAUACAGUGGCAGACGGGUGAGUAACGCGUGGGAACGUACCUUUCACUACGGAAUAGCUCUGGGAAACUGGUGGUAAUACCGUAUACGCCCUCCGGGGGAAAGAUUUAUCGGUGAAAGAUCGGCCCGCGUUGGAUUAGCUAGUUGGUGAGGUAAUGGCUCACCAAGGCGACGAUCCAUAGCUGGUCUGAGAGGAUGAUCAGCCACAUUGGGACUGAGACACGGCCCAAACUCCUACGGGAGGCAGCAGUGGGGAAUCUUGCACAAUGGGCGAAAGCCUGAUGCAGCCAUGCCGCGUGAAUGAUGAAGGCCUUAGGGUUGUAAAAUUCUUUCGUCAGGGAUGAUAAUGACCGUACCUGAAGAAGAAGCCCCGGCUAACUUCGUGCCAGCAGCCGCGGUAAUACGAAGGGGGCUAGCGUUGUUCGGAAUUACUGGGCGUAAAGCGCACGUAGGCGGAUUUUUAAGUCAGGUGUGAAAUCCCGGGGCUCAACCUCGGAACUGCAUUUGAAACUGGAAGCCUUGAGACCAGGAGAGGUUAGCGGAAUACCGAGUGUAGAGGUGAAAUUCGUAGAUAUUCGGUGGAACACCAGUGGCGAAGGCGGCUAACUGGACUGGUACUGACGCUGAGGUGCGAAAGUGUGGGGAGCAAACAGGAUUAGAUACCCUGGUAGUCCACACCGUGAACGAUGAGAGCUAGUUGUUGGCAGGCAUGCCUGUCGGUGACGCAGCUAACGCAUUAAGCUCUCCGCCUGGGGAGUACGGCCGCAAGGUUAAAACUCAAAGAAAUUGACGGGGGCCCGCACAAGCGGUGGAGCAUGUGGUUUAAUUCGAAGCAACGCGCAGAACCUUACCUACCCUUGACAUCCCGGUUUCGGUAUCCAGAGAUGGUGUCCAUCAGUUCGGCUGGUCCGGUGACAGGUGCUGCAUGGCUGUCGUCAGCUCGUGUCGUGAGAUGUUGGGUUAAGUCCCGCAACGAGCGCAACCCUCAUCCUUAGUUGCCAUCACGUUUGGGUGGGCACUCUAAGGAAACUGCCGGUGGUAAGCCGGAGGAAGGUGGGGAUGACGUCAAGUCCUCAUGGCCCUUACGGGUAGGGCUACACACGUGCUACAAUGGCAGUGACAAUGGGAUAAUCCCAAAAAGCUGUCUCAGUUCAGAUUGUCCUCUGCAACUCGAGGGCAUGAAGGUGGAAUCGCUAGUAAUCGUGGAUCAGCAUGCCACGGUGAAUACGUUCCCGGGCCUUGUACACACCGCCCGUCACAUCAUGGGAAUUGGUUCUACCCGAAGAUCGUGCGCUAACUUCGGAGGCAGCGAGCCACGGUAGGAUCAGUGACUGGGAUGAAGUCGUAACAAGGUAGCCGUAGGGGAACCUGCGGCUGGAUCACCUCCUUA
rnacentral:rRNA from 1 species